GCCAAAAAGGGGCUCGGGACUCUAAGGAGAGAUGGAGACCAAGGAGAGACAUUCUUCAGGGAGGCGGCAUCCGGUGGAGUUGACGUGCUCAAGACGAAGCAUCAGACACACCUGGAGCUAUUCCCAGCCCGGCCAUUUACAAGUCCUGGGACCCGGGUUACUUUCACCUAUUGCUUCUGGAGGAUGAGAAUUCUGUAUUCAUUAUCUAAUCCUGGACAUCUUUUCCCAACUCUGUGUUCAGUGACACAGCAGCAGCUUGAUGGUGAUCUUCUCCUGGCUCCCCGAUCCAGGACUGACUCCUCUUCCUGUCCACUUCCAUCAAUACACAUGCCUUCAAAAGGCAGGAGGAAGGGAGGCACAGGGUGGAGGCUGCAAUGGCCAGAGAAGCAGGUCGGGCAUGGAGCUAAAUCAUAAUAAGGAUCAUUCAUUCAUUCGUUCAUUCCACAAAUGUUCUCCCAGGGCCCACUGUGCGCCUGGCAGGCUUCUACAGCCAGCACCAGCUAGAAAACUGGCCUUGCUCAAUGCAAAGUGACGAUAUGAGAUUCAUUGUCCAAAAGCUGUUAGGAGCUUCACAACGGUGGCACAGAGCAUUAAACCAACUGCGGGAUCCUUCUGAGCAGGGACCCCUUCUCAGCCCUUCUGAGCCCAGCCCAAUAGCACGGUUGUGGGGUUUGGGGAUAUGGUCGUGAACACAUCUGAACAGACAUGCCUGCCUUCAGGGGACCUCACAGUUUGAUGGAGAGAGUUGUUGUUGUUCAG